UCAGAUUGAUCAUGGCUCAGGAUGAACGCUAGCGGCAGGCUUAACACAUGCAAGUCGAGGGGCAGCGGGGUGUAGCAAUACACUGCCGGCGACCGGCGCACGGGUGCGUAACGCGUAUGCAACCUACCCAUAACAGGGGCAUAACACUGAGAAAUUGGUACUAAUUCCCCAUAACAUUCGAAGAGGCAUCUCUUUGGGUUGAAAACUCCGGUGGUUAUGGAUGGGCAUGCGUUGUAUUAGCUAGUU
rnacentral:rRNA from 1 species